rnacentral:rRNA from 1 species
CGGGACACGUGGUAUCCUGUCUGAAUAUGGGGGGACCAUCCUCCAAGGCUAAAUACUCCUGACUGACCGAUAGUGAACCAGUACCGUGAGGGAAAGGCGAAAAGAACCCCGGCGAGGGGAGUGAAAAAGAACCUGAAACCGUGUACGUACAAGCAGUGGGAGCACGCUUAGGCGUGUGACUGCGUACCUUUUGUAUAAUGGGUCAGCGACUUAUAUUCUGUAGCAAGGUUAACCGAAUAGGGGAGCCGAAGGGAAACCGAGUCUUAACUGGGCGUUAAGUUGCAGGGUAUAGACCCGAAACCCGGUGAUCUAGCCAUGGGCAGGUUGAAGGUUGGGUAACACUAACUGGAGGACCGAACCGACUAAUGUUGAAAAAUUAGCGGAUGACUUGUGGCUGGGGGUGAAAGGCCAAUCAAACCGGGAGAUAGCUGGUUCUCCCCGAAAGCUAUUUAGGUAGCGCCUCGUGAAUUCAUCUCCGGGGGUAGAGCACUGUUUCGGCAAGGGGGUCAUCCCGACUUACCAACCCGAUGCAAACUGCGAAUACCGGAGAAUGUUAUCACGGGAGACACACGGCGGGUGCUAACGUCCGUCGUGAAGAGGGAAACAACCCAGACCGCCAGCUAAGGUCCCAAAGUCAUGGUUAAGUGGGAAACGAUGUGGGAAGGCCCAGACAGCCAGGAUGUUGGCUUAGAAGCAGCCAUCAUUUAAAGAAAGCGUAAUAGCUCACUGGUCGAGUCGGCCUGCGCGGAAGAUGUAACGGGGCUAAACCAUGCACCGAAGCUGCGGCAGCGACGCUGAUGCGUUGUUGGGUAGGGGAGCGUUCUGUAAGCCUGUGAAGGUGUGCUGUGAGGCAUGCUGGAGGUAUCAGAAGUGCGAAUGCUGACAUAAGUAACGAUAAAGCGGGUGAAAAGCCCGCUCGCCGGAAGACCAAGGGUUCCUGUCCAACGUUAAUCGGGGCAGGGUGAGUCGACCCCUAAGGCGAGGCCGAAAGGCGUAGUCGAUGGGAAACAGGUUAAUAUUCCUGUACUUGGUGUUACUGCGAAGGGGGGACGGAGAAGGCUAUGUUGGCCGGGCGACGGUUGUCCCGGUUUAAGCGUGUAGGCUGGUUUUCCAGGCAAAUCCGGAAAAUCAAGGCUGAGGCGUGAUGACGAGGCACUACGGUGCUGAAGCAACAAAUGCCCUGCUUCCAGGAAAAGCCUCUAAGCAUCAGGUAACAUCAAAUCGUACCCCAAACCGACACAGGUGGUCAGGUAGAGAAUACCAAGGCGCUUGAGAGAACUCGGGUGAAGGAACUAGGCAAAAUGGUGCCGUAACUUCGGGAGAAGGCACGCUGAUAUGUAGGUGAAGCGACUUGCUCGUGGAGCUGAAAUCAGUCGAAGAUACCAGCUGGCUGCAACUGUUUAUUAAAAACACAGCACUGUGCAAACACGAAAGUGGACGUAUACGGUGUGACGCCUGCCCGGUGCCGGAAGGUUAAUUGAUGGGGUCAGCGCAAGCGAAGCUCUUGAUCGAAGCCCCGGUAAACGGCGGCCGUAACUAUAACGGUCCUAAGGUAGCGAAAUUCCUUGUCGGGUAAGUUCCGACCUGCACGAAUGGCGUAAUGAUGGCCAGGCUGUCUCCACCCGAGACUCAGUGAAAUUGAACUCGCUGUGAAGAUGCAGUGUACCCGCGGCAAGACGGAAAGACCCCGUGAACCUUUACUAUAGCUUGACACUGAACAUUGAGCCUUGAUGUGUAGGAUAGGUGGGAGGCUUUGAAGUGUGGACGCCAGUCUGCAUGGAGCCGACCUUGAAAUACCACCCUUUAAUGUUUGAUGUUCUAACGUUGACCCGUAAUCCGGGUUGCGGACAGUGUCUGGUGGGUAGUUUGACUGGGGCGGUCUCCUCCUAAAGAGUAACGGAGGAGCACGAAGGUUGGCUAAUCCUGGUCGGACAUCAGGAGGUUAGUGCAAUGGCAUAAGCCAGCUUGACUGCGAGCGUGACGGCGCGAGCAGGUGCGAAAGCAGGUCAUAGUGAUCCGGUGGUUCUGAAUGGAAGGGCCAUCGCUCAACGGAUAAAAGGUACUCCGGGGAUAACAGGCUGAUACCGCCCAAGAGUUCAUAUCGACGGCGGUGUUUGGCACCUCGAUGUCGGCUCAUCACAUCCUGGGGCUGAAGUAGGUCCCAAGGGUAUGGCUGUUCGCCAUUUAAAGUGGUACGCGAGCUGGGUUUAGAACGUCGUGAGACAGUUCGGUCCCUAUCUGCCGUGGGCGCUGGAGAACUGAGGGGGGCUGCUCCUAGUACGAGAGGACCGGAGUGGACGCAUCACUGGUGUUCGGGUUGUCAUGCCAAUGGCACUGCCCGGUAGCUAAAUGCGGAAGAGAUAAGUGCUGAAAGCAUCUAAGCACGAAACUUGCCCCGAGAUGAGUUCUCCCUGACUCCUUGAGAGUCCUGAAGGAACGUUGAAGACGACGACGUUGAUAGGCCGGGUGUGUAAGCGCAGCGAUGCGUUGAGCUAACCGGUACUAAUGAACCGUGAGG